rnacentral:lncRNA from 1 species
CCACAGUCAGAUGCUAUAGCUUGACCCCAACAGAAUAAUGUUAUUUUGUUUCCCUUUGAGAACAAAGGACAAUCACCACCAAUGCAGCCAGUUCUAGGCUAGGUCUACAAGAAGGCAAAGAAUAGGUGUUCUGAGACAGAUCUGUCACAUGGUUCUGAUUUGGGAUUGGAAUGGAAUGAGACAUCCGUAGACCAUCUAACAAAGAAGAAAUUUAUUUAACUGUAGUAUGGGCAGCAUAUUCAUAGGACUGGGCCAGUCAUUUAAGCAUUCAGUGCUAUGAGAAAGUAGAAAGAAUCACGAAAAUCCAAGAGGAAAAUGCAUCUGAGAAGAGAUAGAUGGUGAACAGUAUCAAAUA